rnacentral:tRNA from 1 species
GCAGUGAUGGUUCAGUGGUAGAAUUCUCGUUUUCCAUGUGAGGAGACAUGGAUUCGAUUUCUGGCCAGUGCA